rnacentral:rRNA from 1 species
GAUGAACGCUGGCGGCGUGCCUAAUACAUGCAAGUAGAACGCUGAAGGAAGGAGCUUGCUCUUUCCGGAUGAGUUGCGAACGGGUGAGUAACGCGUAGGUAACCUGCCUGGUAGCGGGGGAUAACUAUUGGAAACGAUAGCUAAUACCGCAUAACAGUAGAUGUUGCAUGAUAUCUACUUAAAAGGUGCAAUUGCACCACUACCAGAUGGACCUGCGUUGUAUUAGCUAGUUGGUGAGGUAACGGCUCACCAAGGCGACGAUACAUAGCCGACCUGAGAGGGGGAUCGGCCACACUGGGACGGAGACACGGCCCAGACUCCUACGGGAGGCAGCAGUAGGGAAUCUUCGGCAAUGGACGGAAGUCGGACCGAGAAACGCCGCGGGAGGGAAGAAGGGUGUCGGAUCGUAAAGCUCUGUUGUAAGAGAAGAACGAGUGUGAGAGUGGAAAGUUCACACUGUGACGGUAGCUUACCAGAAAGGGACGGCUAACUACGUG